rnacentral:rRNA from 1 species
AUUGAACGCUGGCGGCAGGCCUAACACAUGCAAGUCGAGCGGCAGCGGGACCUUCGGGUUGCCGGCGAGCGGCGGACGGGUGAGUAAUGCCUAGGAAUCUGCCUGUUAGCGGGGGAUAACGCGGGGAAACUCGCGCUAAUACCGCAUACGUCCUACGGGAGAAAGCGGGGGCUCUUCGGACCUCGCGCUAACAGAUGAGCCUAGGUCGGAUUAGCUAGUUGGUGGGGUAAUGGCUCACCAAGGCGACGAUCCGUAACUGGUCUGAGAGGAUGAUCAGUCACACUGGAACUGAGACACGGUCCAGACUCCUACGGGAGGCAGCAGUGGGGAAUAUUGGACAAUGGGCGAAAGCCUGAUCCAGCCAUGCCGCGUGUGUGAAGAAGGUCUUCGGAUUGUAAAGCACUUUAAGUCGGGAGGAAGGGCUGUAGGUUAAUACCCUGCGGUUUUGACGUUACCGACAGAAUAAGCACCGGCUAACUUCGUGCCAGCAGCCGCAGUAAAAC